rnacentral:lncRNA from 1 species
UUUGAUUUUCACAAUAUAGAUUGAUCAAUAAAUUUCUCUGUUGCAAGCUCAGGAAAUAAAAUAUGGCUGACAUUAUUUAUUUUGUUUACUUAAUGAUCCAUGUUAUUUUCCUAUUUCUUUUUGUAGUUGAUGUUAGAGGUAAACCAUUUUCGUAUCCUUUUUGUUUAUCUUAUACAUACUAUUUCACCCUGUUAAUAAUGUUUGUGUUUUCUUUUUUAUAUCACAGCAUCGGAAACGUUGCCACGACCUUGCAAAAGGAACUCGGAUUGUGCAACCUAUUUCUGUCCAUUUCCAUGGGUUGCAAAAUGCCAUUCUUAUAAAUGUGAAUGUUUUCAUAAAAUAUGGAAAUAAAUAAACAGUGAGAUCUUAGAAUUUUAUACAAAAAUAAUCCAUUUUUUUAAGAAAAUUCCCAAAAUAUCUCUGGUUUCAAAAAAAUUCUCAAACUACCUCACAUUUAGGAGGAGGUGUCAAUUCAAUUGGCGACUCCUCUUAAAAAUUGAAUGCAGAUGCCAAUUGGAUUGGCUAGGGCAUGUGCCCUAACCAAUCAAAUUGACGCUCCUGUGUAUAACUUGAGAGGAGGUGUCAAUUGAAUUGGCGUCUCAGUGUAAAAUGCACUUUUUUUUAUUAUAAAUAGAUGUGUUGUAUGAGUCAUUGUUUCACAUAUCAUUUUAUCAUUUGACAAUCAUGUUUGGUGUUCGUCGCCGAUACGGAAAUGUGAUUUAUGCGAGAGACAAACCUCAGAUGCUGAUGCUGUUCUGGAACAUCACUACAUUCGAUCAACUGAAGAGGGAGCUGGUUCGUUGGUUACAUGGGAGAAUACCAGAAGGGAAAAAAUAGAAGUAUUGAGAGACUCGACAAUAUCUUUGGUUGGGUGCGAAUGAAAACUGAUAAGGGUGCUAGGGAAAUGAUAUUCGAUCGAGAUGGCAUCAAUUUGAUUGUUGUAAUAAGUUAGAAAUAUUUCUGUUUUCAGAUAGCUUAUUUUGUAUUGAUGUUUGUUGUGAACCUCGUUGUAACAAAAACUUAAUGAUAUAUAAUGAUUGAAGGUUACAGAAAUACAAUGUUACAAAAAGCUUAAGCUUAUUUUGUAUUGAUGUUUGUUGUGAACCUCGUUGUAACAAAAACUUAAUGAUAUAUAAUGAUUGAAGGUUACAGAAAUACAAUGUUACAAAAAGCUUAAGACCCAGAUGAUGCUCCUCGAUUGAGACAAUUGUUCUUGUUGUGUCCUGGUUGACGACAGAUACUACAUAAUCUUAUCAUUUUAUCUGUGGAAUCCA